AUUGAACGCUGGCGGCAUGCCUUACACAUGCAAGUCGAACGGUAACAGGUCUUUCGGGAUGCUGACGAGUGGCGAACGGGUGAGUAAUACAUCGGAACGUGCCUAGUAGUGGGGGAUAACUACUCGAAAGAGUGGCUAAUACCGCAUGAGAUCUAUGGAUGAAAGCAGGGGACCUUUGGGCCUUGUGCUACUAGAGCGGCCGAUGGCAGAUUAGGUAGUUGGUGGGAUAAAAGCUUACCAAGCCUACGAUCUGUAGCUGGUCUGAGAGGACGAUCAGCCACACUGGGACUGAGACACGGCCCAGACUCCUACGGGAGGCAGCAGAGGGGAAUUUUGGACAAUGGGCGCAAGCCUGAUCCAGCAAUGCCGCGUGCAGGAUGAAGGCCUUCGGGUUGUAAACUGCUUUUGUACGGAACGAAAAGUCUUGGGUUAAUACCCUGGGAUCAUGACGGUACCGUAAGAAUAAGCACCGGCUAACUACGUG
rnacentral:rRNA from 1 species